CAUGGAUUCACCACCAGAGAUAGACGUGCUGGAACUUUGCUGCCAUGAGACAAUCAAUGGAUACCUUCAUUCAGAAGCUUCUGGGACAGUGGCUAAUGUUUGGUUCCUGGUUGUGAAUCACAAUGUUUCGAAAGAUCAACAGUUGUGAUUGUGGGUCAUUUAUUGAAGAGGAGGACCUUAAAGAUCAACGACACAGAAUGGGAAUGGACGUGAUUACUGCCUACACAGACAGAAAGGAAGCAAGGAUCCCCUGUCUAUCUUGUGCUGUGUUGCCUGGUCUGGGACAGUGGUCAUCUCCUGAAGACUCAUGCUUGCUUCACCUAUUAGAACCUGAAUCUUCAACUGAUGGACUUGCCUACAUCUAACUUAAAAGAAAAAUCUAGUUGAGUAACUGACUGUCUCACACAACCCA